UACGUAGGGUGCAAGCGUUGUCCGGAAUUAUUGGGCGUAAAGAGCUCGUAGGCGGUUUGUCGCGUCUGCUGUGAAAAUCCAGGGCUUAACCCUGGACCUGCAGUGGGUACGGGCAGACUAGAGUGUGGUAGGGGAGACUGGAAUUCCUGGUGUAGCGGUGAAAUGCGCAGAUAUCAGCAGGAACACCCGUGGCGAAGGCGGCUUCCCUGGGCCGCCCCUGACGCUGAGGCGGCGAAAGCGUGGGGAGCCGAACGGG
rnacentral:rRNA from 1 species